AUACGUAGGGGGCAAGCGUUGUCCGGAUUUAUUGGGCGUAAAGAGCGUGUAGGCGGCUAGGUAGGUCCGUUGUGAAAACUCGAGGCUCAACCUCGAGACGCCGGUGGAAACCAUCUAGCUAGAGUCCGGAAGAGGAGAGUGGAAUUCCUGGUGUAGCGGUGAAAUGCGCAGAUAUCAGGAAGAACACCCGUGGCGAAGGCGGCUCUCUGGGACGUGACUGACGCUGAGACGCGAAAGCGUGGGGAGCGAACAGGAGUAGAUACCCUGGGAGUCCACGCUGUAAACGAUGGGUGCUAGGUGUGGGCGGUGUCGACUCCGUCCGUGCCGAAGCUAACGCAUUAAGCACCCCGCCUGGGGAGUACGGCCGCAAGGCUAAA
rnacentral:rRNA from 1 species